GGUUCUAUAAAUUCCCCAACCCCAAGUGCAUAAGGGCUUAUGCUGACCCGCAGCAGAGAAGCACCAGCAAGCCCUGUAGCAUGGCAGUAUUCAGUUUCCUUCCACAGCAAUUACCGAGAUGCAUGAACAAAAGCCGUCUUCUGGAGAAACCAAACACCAGAAGUGGCAUUCAUUGGUUCCCACACAUGCACACAGCAGCUACUAUCAGAGGUGGAGUUUGUUGCCUAGGUUAUUCCAUACGCCGCCAGCCGGAGGGAGGGCGGCUGACUCUCAACGGUUCUGCACUUCAGGAGUCCUGUUCGGCAUUCAACUGUGGCCCGUGUGUCGUGUGCAAAAGAAGGAGGGAAGCAUGAACUGCAGGGCAGCCCUCAGAGAGAAGCAAUGUGGUCCCUUCUCCCCUUGUGUGUGCAGAGCAAGGUCAUCAUCGCGCAAGGCAGUUCAGCACAACUCCUGGCCUAACAAACGUUUUCACACUUCGCAAAAGACCGCAAGGCACAAAUCCCGCAGGUGUCGCUCUCAGAGGUUUGUCGUGAAAUCCUUUUGCGGUUCUUGGAGAGGACAAACUCCUUUUGAGGUUUUGCAAAAAUGAGCAAGAAUAUUAAAGAACUAAGGGAAGCGCUGCAAAGGCAAACCCAAGAGACCUUGAAACUGCAGGAAGAAGCAACCAAAUUCUCAGUGGAAUCCCUCACACGUCAAGGGUGUUCCUCUCCUUCAAACCUCUUGACAAAUUCAGAGAUACAGUUUUCAGCACCCUUAACAAACUACAGUUCCCAGAACGCAGCCCAUAUCUUGCUGCAGUUCAGACAAACACUACAACUUCCACAAGGUUAUUGUCUCUUGCUGUUGGCAUCUGCCUGUUAGGAUUCCUGCUCCAUGAUUGCAGUCAUAGGAUUGUUGUCUUUCACAUGACGGUAUAUGUUUUGACUCUACAGAGUGGGAAGUGAUGGAAACAGGAUGUUUGUGUUACUGUGUUCCAUGAAGUGGGACUAUUGUCCUUUGUUCUUUUUCUCUUUGCUGUCUGAUGCUAGAGAGAGAGGGAGCCAUGUUGCAGUGCUCCGUGUGUGUUUAUAUGUAAAUAAAGUAGAUUAGCCAAAAUGCUGAGUCACUGAGGUCUGUCACACAAGGUGCGCAAAUUCUGCGGAACCCUAAGUGUGCCGGUGUCGGUUGGCAUCAGGCGCUGUGAUGUUUGGGCUGAAGAAAGCUUAUGAAGCUCCCGAACGAUUGACCAAUAGGGAGGGAACAUGCCAGUCGGGCAUGUGUCUCUGCCAGGGUCCUACUCGAGUGUAGGCUGAACUCCUGACACUGCCUGCCUUGAGAGUUACUGGAAGAGUGUGCCACAGGAGGGUGAAGUCAAACUGUUGGAGAGUUACAGCGCCUGCUGUGGCUGUAGAGACCAAUACAGGAGGGACAUGUUUUGUUGCAGCUGGGGCAGAUGAAGGCAUCCAGUUGUGCUGCUGCAGAUGCACCGUGGUGUUUCAUCUCUCUCUGCGGUCCUCACAGCGGUCAUUCCUCCUCUGGUCACUAACCUGACUGCCUGUCUCCAGGCACUGCGGUCAUUUGCAAGGGUUCCCCACAUGGCAGGCUUGAUGUCUGCCAGCCUUCAUGUCAUGUUUGCACACAUCUUUGUAGCACAGAAUUGCUCUGCCAAC